CACUGAGUUCCGGGAGCAAGGCAGCUUUUCAAGGCUGGGCACUAAACAGGGGGAGCUUUGUGAGUGCCUAGACUCCUCUGCCGGCCACCUGCUCUUCCUCUCCUUGGCUUCCACGAAGAAAGCUGCAUGAGAGCAGGGAAUUGCUUUGUCCAAUGCUAAUCACUAAAGCUUAGAAUACUGCUUGUUACAUGGGCCAGAAGUCAAGAAUAGGAGAGCAGCAGAAAACCACUAAAUAUGACAGCCAGCUUCACAUGGUUAGGUGGAAACAUCAUUGAUGCAGGAUUUUUCUUUGUCUCCUUACCAGUUGGGGACCUCUGGCUGGUGAUGUUACCUGCCACAGGAUGUGCCCUGCCCAAUCAGCUUGCCAAGUCUAGCUUGUGCACUGGUUCCUGAGUUCUUGUCCUGUGCCCAAGAAGAAUGAGGAUGUGCUGACCAUUGAAGGGUGAGGAGAAUAAUUUUAUUGAGUAAUGAAACAGGUUAUAGUGGAGAGGGGACACGGGGGUGGUCACCCUACCUGAAGUCCCCCAUGUGGCUGGGUCUGGGGCCUUUUUUGGACUCAGAACGGGGAGUGCGUGUUGAUUGGUUUGUCAGUAUGCAAAAAUGGUUAAAGUGAAUACACCACUCAAAGGUGGGCACAACAGUAGAAAACCAAUUAGAAAAGGGUAGGUAUGUGUAAAAUAGGUGAAAGGUGGGGAUCAAUCAGAGGAAAGCAGGCCAAACAGGAAGACAAGUUCUCAAUCUCGUCCGAGGAUUUAACUUGUAGCUUGGCUUUCAGGCUUUAAACUGUCUUUGGCUUGGAGAUGGAGUUUCACUGGGGACCUGCCCCUAUCUGCCUAGGCAUUUGGCUGCAUCCUGAUGCUCUCAUCAUGAUCUUUUACUGUUUUUUUUUUUUUUUUUGAGACGGAGUGUCACACUGUCACCCAGGCUGGGGUGCAAUGGCACAAUCUCAGCUCACUGCAACCUCUGCCUCCCAUGUUCAAGUGAUUCUCCUGCCUCAUCCUCCCAAGUAGCUGGGAUUACCUGCGCCUGCCAACAUGCCUGGCUAAUUUUUUG
rnacentral:lncRNA from 10 species